UACGAAGGGGGCUAGCGUUGCUCGGAAUCACUGGGCGUAAAGGGCGCGUAGGCGGCUUAACAAGUCACUUGUGAAAUCUCCGGGCUUAACUCGGAACGGCCAAGUGAAACUGUCAAGCUAGAGUGCAGAAGGGGCAAUCGGAAUUCUUGGUGUAGCGGUGAAAUGCGUAGAUAUCAAGAGGAACACCUGAGGUGAAGACGGGUUGCUGGCUGACACUGACGCUGGAGGCGCGAAAGCCAGGGAGCAAACGGG
rnacentral:rRNA from 1 species